UGCUGUGCUUCUUUAGGUAAAAUGCUUUUUGUUCACUUCUGGUAGGGGGCGGUGGGGAGGGCACUGAAGCCUUUAGUCUUUUCCAGAUGCAACCUUAAAAUCAGUGACAAGAAAUAAAUUCCAAACAAGCAACAGUCUUCAAGAAAUGUAACUGGCAAGUGGAAAUGUUUAUCAGUUCAGUGGUCUUAGUGCAUUGUCUUUGUGUGGGUUUCUCUCUCCCCUCCCUUGGUCUUAAUUCUUAUACGCAGGAACAUUCAAAACAGCAGACGUAUGCGAAGGGCCAGAGAAGCCAGACCAGUAAGGAAAAAAAAAUAGCUUAUUUACUUUAAAUAAACAUUCCAUUUAAAAUGUGGGGAUUGGGAACCACUAGUUCUUUCAGAUGGUAUUCUUCAGACAUGUAGAAGGAGCUUCCAGUUGAAUUCACCAGUGGACAAAAUGAGGACAACAGGUGAACAAGCUUUUUUCUAUAUUUACGUAACAAGUCGGAUCCAUGAUGAGUAAAUAAUUUAGUGUUAAAUAGUUUCAGCUUUAUGCUGGAAUGAAUAGCAUGUGAGCAAGCUGUUUGUUGGCCUGGGGGUGGAGGGGUGAGGUGGGCGCUAAGCCUUUUUUUAAGAUUUUUCAGGUAUCCUUCCCUAAAGGCACCGAAGGCUUAAAGUAGGACAACCAUGGAGCCUUCCUGUGGCAAGAGAGACAACAAUGCGCUCUUAUACUAAGGUCAAUAAAAACGGUGUCGGCCUCAUAACCCCAUCUUCUGUUAGAAACGAGGACUCGCCUCCACGCCCUUGGCAGACAUGCACUGAGGCUCUUUUUGGAGAAUGGAGCAUCUAAAGGAAUGCUUUGAGUACCUUGUAUACUCUUGGGCCUGUCUGACCUUUGAUUGUGCUGCUUUUACAGCAGCUCUUUAAAAAGCCCAAACGUCCAGUGACGGUUGAAGGGGAGGGAAAGGGGAAAGCGGGCAACCACUUUUCCCUAGCUUUUCCAGAAGCCUGUUAAAAAGCAAGGUCUCCCCACAAGUGACUUCUCUGCCACAUCGCCACUCCCUGCCUUUGGCCUAGCGCAGACCCUUCACCCCUCACCUCGAUGCCGCCAGUAGCUUGGAUCCUUCAGGCCAUGAUCCGUAAUCGGUUUCAAGGUAACAGUGGUGCUGAGCUGUUCCUUCCGGUGGGUUGCACUACUAGAAGAGGCCAUUAAUUUGCCUGCAAAUAGUUAACGUUAUUAAAACCACAACUAAAAGCUCAAAGAUAAUUUUAAAUCUAUAACCCCAUUAUCCAGUGAUUAAAACACUUAAACCAGUGAAUGGAGAAUAAUGUUUUAAGACUGUCAUGUUGGGUGGGAGAAUCUACCUUGUAAACUGAAGAAGCAUCGGCGUUUUAGUCUCGAGGACUGUUGGGUGGGAUUGCAAAAAUUCUCUGCUAAGACUUUUUCAGGUGAACAUAACAGACUUGGCCAAGCUAGCAUCUUAGCUGAAGCAGAUUCUCCAGUGUUCUUCAGUAGGGUUGUAAAGGUUUUUCUUUUCCUGAGAAAACAAGUUUUGUUUUCUCAGGUUUUGCUUUUUGGCCUUUUCCUAGCUUAAAAAAAAAAAAGCAAAAGAUGCUGGUGGUUGGCACUCCUGGUUUCCAGGACAGGGUUCAAAUCCCUGCGGCGUCUUUGCUUGACUCUGACCUCUGUCUUCAGAACUCUUUCCGUUUUCCUUCUCUCUAGUUCUAGGCUUUUGGGGUUGGGGAAGGUGGGAGAGACUUUGUUAAAUUCGUCAGAAACCAAAAUCAGUUCGUGUUUAUGUGGGAUCCUUGUGAUAACUUGUCUCUGAUUUUCAGGUAGUCCCCGUGCAUCUAGUACAUGAAGAAACCUCACUAUUGAAAGCUGAAAAUUUCUUACUAAUAAAAAUAAAAAGGAAAACUUUUAAUAUGUGUGAUUCUUCUGUCUAUGAACCAAACUUCUGUGCGUGAGCAGCUGAGAGAAGAUGGGGCGUUUUGUGGGGGUUUGUCCACCUUGUUACUGGCUCGUGUGAAAGAUAAGCAUAAUCUUCGAGUAGGGUAGUGACUUGGGGGAAGUGGUAGAGAGUCCACCACCUAAAAGGACCCAGUAACGUCCCCACAGAAGCAGCAGCAGCUUCGUCCUGCAGCAGUUGGGGAGCUGGGCCAGUUGGGGAGCUGGGCCCGGGCCCGGGUGUAGAGAAACAGCUGGGAGUGAGGAAGGAGAGCUCUCAGUUGCUUCAGUGAAAUAACACUUGCAGGCCUAGGGGCGCUUUGUGCGUUUAAUAAGAAGUAGCUCUGUGGCCAUCUGUUACUCCUGAUAACACCCUUAAUCAGUUGUUGGUGCCCCAGACAAGUUGGUCACGGAGUCCCCUUGUUUUGUGGAACGGCCUGGAUAGGUGGUCUUCAGGUCUUCCCUUUUCAGUUAAAGUGAAAAUGCUGAAAUACCACCUUCCCCAGCCCCCCAAUGAAAUACCCUCAUGGUGUUAACCUGGCUGCUAAGUCCCUUCCACUCCCAACUGACCUAUUGCCUGAAGGGGUGGGAGAGGCUCAUUCCACCCAGCCAAGCCUAGGAGAGUGGGGGACCCUGGUCUACAGAAGAUGCUACACCCAGCCGAGGCCUCCCAUCCUGGUUCACCUGAUGGCCACAGAUCAGUCCAGUGGAGGGGCCUCAGUGAACUGAAUUUUUUUUUUUGCUACGUUACAACUCUGGAAGAUGUUACUCGUGUUAAAAAUGGAAAAGCAGGCUUUGGGUCGCUUUGCCAACCAAUGUGGCAGGGCUGGGAUUUGACCCCUGGUCAGUCUCAAGGCUGACUCUGUUGCUGUUAUUUCCGUGCGUAUGUCACUGUCCGCAGCAGACCAACCUCCAAGCCACCCAGCCCGUGCAGGCCCUGGGCACAGGGACUUCCUCUUCCCUUGAAGUGAUCUCGUAAGAGGCAGAUGGCAGGGAGAAGCAGAACCAUGGUCUCCUGGACUUGAUUGCCUAUUCUGAAUGGACGCCGUCUUAGGGUCUUUUGGAGAAAGGUCUUCGUUUUUUCCAGAGUUGGAAGCCUCCCCGGAAAGACUUCAUUGCAAAGUAGUAAGAGAGAGAGAGAGAGAGAGAGAGAGAGGCCUGUAUUCACUAGGGGCUACACGGUUCCUGGUGCCGAGCAUGCUUAGGGUUGGCCAGGACUGGAAAGGUAAAGGCCAGACACAGAGUCAGGGACAGGAAGGUACAAAAGUAGGCCUGAAGCCACUGCUACCCUCUGAGUACGAAAGGGGAAUGGAGAGCAGGCCAACAUAAAGUUCCCCCAAAGAUUACGUCCAACUUAAGAGGCUAGGUCUUGAUAUUAUAGACAAACCCUAGGCAUUUACACAACUCUCCAGCUGGACAACGUGCUCUCCUACCAUGUUUUUUUUGUUUUGCAUUUCAUCACCCUGAUCCUCCCGGGUGUCUUUAAAACAAACCUGAAUUCAAGCGGUAGCUCCACAUUUCCUGGCCUCACCAAGCUUCCCCUCAGGCCUCCCAGGCCCAGCCCAGUUGCUACGGAUCCAGGCUGCAGAUUUCCGACUUCAGUAUAGGGACGACGGCUAGGAGAGUGAGGGGACUUGGGGGGAUGGGACAGGGCGUGGGGGAGAGCUGUGCGAGUGUCUCUCCCGGUUGUUGAUUCGGAAACCCACAAAGUCCAGGAGAUGUGGGUCAAGUCCUGGCUCCUGGCCCUGGCAGGUUGGCAAACAUGGGGUGUCACUUGCCCUCUCCGGGCCUUUGUUUUCCCACCAGUUAAAUGGGGUUAAAUAAAAUGGGUUAAUGCCCUGUCUGCCUGCCUGCUGUGGUAAGGACUACACAAAUUUGAUGGAACUGGAAAUGAGUGGGCUUUUGCUUCCCUCUAGUGGGUGAAUGCGGCAUUGCAUGCACUGUCCUUGGAAUGCUUCAUAACCCGAUUGAAUGUUCAAUGAACAUUUUCACUGCUAAGUAGUAUUCCAUUGCGUGGCUAUUUGAGUUAUUACCACUUUGUUGAAGUUAGGAAUAAAGCUUCUAUAAACAUUUGCGUACAAGUAUUUGUGGAUAGGGGCGCCUGGGUGGCUCAGUCGGUUAAGCGUCCGACUUCAGCUCAGGUCAUGAUCUCACGGUCUGUGAGUUCGAGCCCCGUGUCAGGCUCUGUGCUGACAGCUCAGAGCCUGGAGCCUGUUUCAGAUUCUGUGUCUCCCUCUCUCUCUGCCCCUCCCCUGUUCACGCUCUGUCUCUCUCUGUCUCAAAAAUAAAUAAACGUUAAAAAAAAAAUUUUUUUUUAAAAUAUUUGUGGAUAUAUGCUUUCCUUUUUCUUGGUAUGUUGCAUAGGUGUAUGCACGGUUUUCAUGAAAUUUCCAAACUGUUUUCCAAAGUGGUUGUACCAUUUUGCAUUCCCACCAACAGUGUGUGAGAGGUCUUAUUAUUCUUCAUCCUCGUAAUCCUUUGGUAUCGUCUCAUCUUUAAAUUUUAGCCAUUUUAGUGAAUAUAUAGUGGUUGCUCAUUGCUUUUUUUGUUUGUUUUAGUUCCAUUAUAGUUCACAUACAGUGUUAUAUUCAUUUCAGGUGAACAAUAUAGUGAUUCCACAAUUCUAUACAUUACUCAGUGCUUGUCAUGGUAAGCAUACUCUUUUAACCCCUUUCACGUAUUUCAUCCGUCCCCUACCCCCCUCCCUCUGAUAACCAUCAGUUUGUUCUCUGUAGUUAAGAAUCUGGUUUGUCUCUUUUCUUUGUUUUGUUUCUUAAGUUUCACAUAUGAAUGAAAUUUGACUGGCUUAUUUCACUUAGCAGUAUACUCUUUAGAUCUAUCCAUGUUGCUGCAAAUGGCAGGAUUUCAUUUUUUCAUUUUUUCUUUUUUAAGUUUAUUUGAGAGAGAAAAGAGAGGGUGUGGGAGGGGCAGAGACAGAGAGGGAGAGAGAGAAUCUCAGGCUCUGCACUGUCAGCAAGGAACCUGAUGCGGGGCUCAAACUCACCAACCGUGACAUCAUGACCUGAGCCCAAAUCAAGAGUCAGACGCUUAACCUAUGGAGCUAUCCACAUGUCCCAGGAUUUCAUUUUUUCAAUUGUUUUAAAUUGGGUUUUAUAUGGGGCGCCUGGGUGGCUUAGUCGGCUAAGCGUCCGACUUCAGAUCAGGUCAUAAUCUCACAGUCCGUGAGUUCGAGUCCCUCGUCGGGCUCUGUGCUGACAGCUCAGAGCCUGGAGCCUGCUUCAGAUUCUGUGUCUCCCUCUCUGCCCCUCCUCUGCUCACGCUCUGUCUCUGUCUCUCCAAAAUAAAUAAAAGUGUGACAAAAAAUAAAUUGGGUUUUAUAAUCGCUAAUGAUGUGAAGCAUCUUUUCAUUGUGCUUACUCACCAUUUAUACACAUUUUUUUGUUAAGUGUUUAUUCAUUUUUUUUUUUUUGCCAGUGUAGUUGUUGGGAUGUUUAUCUUUUUAUUGUUGAGUUGUAAGACCUUUUACAAGUACGAGAUACGAGUCCUUUGUCCAUGUAUAUUUUGAAUACAUUUCACCCAGUAUGUGCCUGGCCUUUUCAUUUUUUUGUAACUGUCUUUGAAGAGUAGAAGUUUUAAACCUGGCUGUUUUUUUAAAUGUUUAUUUAUUUAUUUUGAGAGAGAGAUAGAGGGUUAGCAGUGGAGGGGCAGAGAGAGGGGGACAGAGAAUCCCAAGCAGGCUCCACACUGUUAGCACAGAGCCCGACGUAGGGCUCGAGCUCGGGGACGGUGAGAUCGUGACCUGAGCCGAAAUCAAAAGUCAGACACUCGACCGAGUGAGCCACCCAGGCACCCCACUACAUUUUUUUUCCUAACGUUUAUUUAUUUUUGAGAGAAAGAGCUCGAGCCAGAGCCAGGGAGGGGCAGAGAGAGAGGGGGACAGAGGAUCUGCGGUGGGUUCUGCACGCUGACAACAGCGAGACCCGUGACCCGAGCUGAAGUCAAACACUCAACUGACUGAGCCUCCCAGGCGCCCCAGAAGUUUUAAAUCUUGAAUGAACCAUUGACGUACGGAAUAACAUAAAGGAAUUUAAAAAUAACUGUUGAGAGAGAGAAGCCAGUUUUUGAAAAGUACACGCAGUCUGGCUCCAUUUCUAAACAAUUCUCAAAAGAUAAAAACUAACCUGAAAUAACAGCAGAUUAGAAGUCACAAAGGGGCGGGCGCCCGGGGGGGCCCGGCGGGCGCGGGGCUGGCUUCAGCUCUGGUCAUGAUCUUACAGUUCAUGAGCCUGAGCCCUCCUGACUCAAGCCCCGCGUAGGGCUCUGCCCUGACAGCUCAGAGCCUGGAGCCUGUUUUGGAUUCUCUGUCUCCCUCUCUCUCUCUCUCUCUGUCCCUCCCCUGCUUGCGCUCAAUCUCCCCCCCCCCCCAUCUCAAAAAUAAACAAACAUUAAAAAAAGAAGGAGUUACAAAGGGACACAAAGAAAGUUUGAAGAUGAUGAACGUGCUUGUUGCCUUGACCAUAGCGUUGGUUUCGUAGACGCGCACUGAUGUCAAAAUUCAUCAAAUUGUACGCCUCAAACGGUUUGAUUAUUGUCCAUCAAUAAAGCUGCACUUCUUGGGGGGUGGGGGGCAGGGCCGGCAGCGGAGAAGAGGAAGAAGCUGGAAGCCGAUGGUUAAGGUCCUAGAACACCAGAGAGGCUAGGGCGCUGGCCCGGGGAGCAGGUGGUGAAACCUGAUUCUGGCCACAACGUCAGUGAGGAAAGACCCGAGGUCUGGGGACCGGGGACGUUGAGGCAACGAGAUACUUAGGCUGGGACCGAGGGAGAGAAUGGCUGUGAGGAAGGCCUUUGGUUUCCGGUUUCGGGGCUGGGGGGUGGGGUGCAGGGGACAAGGUGACUGCCUUCCGCGAGACAGCCGGAGGGGGGCAGGCAGGAGCGCUUGAGAGGUUCCCGGGCAGGUGACGACAGUGAGGUGAGCGUUGGAUUCGCAUCCGAAAGGCUCGUGGGAUGGCCGAGCGGACGCGUUCGGGGUGAUCAGAUCGGAUGCACUUGGGGUGCUCAGAAAUAGGCCGCGGUGAGAUCCGCCGGCUCCCAGGGACCACCCAGAUGGUGGCCCGGAGGGAAAGGAAGAGGUUCGGCUGCGGACUCGGGAGGUGCGCGGGCGGGGAAGGCCUCCCUGGGGCAUGAUCGGACCUCACCUUCUGUCCCUCCGCCAGAAGCUUCGACGUGUGACGCCUCCCCCUCGGAGAGUCUCAAACCCCCAUUUCAGCUCUGGGCUGGACACGCCCACGUGGGUGCCCCCCUCCCUGCACAAGGGCCUCCUUGCCUGCUCCCGUGUCUCCCUCUGGCGUCUCCAGCCACGUCCCCGCAGGCCCAACCUGUCCCCUCCCUCUCUCUCUCUCUCCCUCUCUCUCUCUGAAUUAAAUAAACAUUAAAAAAAUAAACAAACAAACAAACAAACAAAUAAAUAAAGUUGUCCUGGUCUCCGAGCCUCCUGGAGCCCUGUGUUCUGGUCCCCCGCGCCCUCCCCGCCCCCCGCCCUGCCUCGGCACUGGCUGUGUGACCUGAUGCCAGGCUGUGGUUCACCCCGCCCCCCUGUCACGUCCUGCACUAGUCCUGCCCAUUCACUCCUAACAGAAACUCACACGCUACCGACAGUCAGUAGCUGGCAUCUGAAGCCUGGCAGCUUGCACACACCCAUUCACACUCUCUGCGCACGCUCGCCAGCCAACUGUGGCCCCCGGCCGGCGACGGAGCAGGCACAGGCCCCGGGCUCAGGGAGCCCGCGCCGUCAGCUCUGACUCGAGCCCAGGUACAAGCUGAGGUGCCCAGGGGUCAGGAAAAGGGCCUCAUGGGCCCGGUGGGAGGUAGGCCUCCUGGAGGAGAAAGCCUCUGAGUUAAGCCUGGAUGAAAUGUUGGGGCUCACGCAUGCGCAUGCGAGGACAGGAGGAAAAUCACCCCGAGGCAGGAGGCCGGAGGCUGGCUGGCUGUGGGGUCAUCCCCUCGACUCCAGACGGUCCUCUGGGCUGACCUGCUCCACACCCCCCUCCGCUGUGGGUCCUUCCAGCUCCCCACCCUCCCCCACCUCCACCUUCUCCUGAUUCCUUUGUCUCUCUUUCCGCUGCUUCGACACGUGUACUAUUUCUAAUCUUUUGUUAUCCCCUUGCAUUUGGAAGCAGGGCACUUAACAGCACCGCUAACGGCCCGGGCUCUGUACCCGCCCCCCCAACAGAAGAAUCCCAGCCACCCCUGCCUCUUGGCCACCUUGUUUUUCCGUCUCCCCACGUGCAUGCUAAUCGGCUGUCCCUUACGGGUAGGGAUUAUUAUUUCACCUGACCGACUCCUGUGCCAGUGUCUCUGGCUUUCUCGAAUCCUGUUCCGCCCUUCUGGGCCCAAGGCCCUCCUUCCUAACGCCCUUCUGGAAAUUCUUCCAGCAAGGGUUUCUGAGGGGUCGCUAUUCGGCGUCUACGUGAGAUAGAUCUAUUUGGCUCUCUCUUUUCAUUCCUGACUCUCUACCCCCCAACACAGUCUUUGCACUGCCCACGGCCCCCAGUCAGGCCCGACCAGGCUGCCCUCACCAGACACGCCCCAGCCCCUUCUGACUGUACUCUAGAUGAUUCUUUUAUUCCUUCUGGUCCUUUCCCGGAGGACCUUGCCUGAUCUGCCCGCUUCCUGACCUGAUCUUGCUCAUCUCAAACCCAGCGCUCUUUCCAAGUCUCCCCACAGGAAUCACCUAUCGGGAAAGAUUCUUGUCUACAGGCAAGCGUCAUCAGAUAAGCCAAAAGCAGAGAAGUGGGCCCGUUGUCGCACACCCGGGUCUGCUCUGGGUACACGUGCGGGUCUUCUGGGUUGGGUGAGACGCCGCACGGUGGACGUGCUGGGCGAAGAUUCCGCCGUAUUUUGGCUUUACUCUUUGAGGCAGGUGGCAUGUCUUAUUUUUUUUUUUUUAAGGUUUAUUUAUUUAUUUUGGGAGUGGGGGAGGGACAGAGAGAGAGGGAGACACAGAAUCCGAAGCAGGCUCCAGGCUCCGAGCCGUCAGCACAGAGCCCGACGUGGGGCUCGAACUCACAGACCGCGAGAUCAUGACCUGAGCGGAAGUGGGACACGUAACCGACUGAGCCACCCAGGCGCCCCAGGAGUGUGUUGUUUUUAAUUUCCACAGAUUUGUUUCCCAAAUUUCUUGUUAUGAUUGAUUUCUAAUUUCGUUCACCUGUGUUCAGAGAACAUACUUUGUAUUAUUUCUAUGCUUUUAAAUUUAUGGAGGCCAUUUUUUGCCUUAGCACGUGGUUUAUCUUGAACACCACUCCAUGUGUAUUUGAGAAGAAUGUAUAUUCUGCUUAGAUGGGUCUCUUUCGUUUUCAAGGACUUUUGUAAUUACAUUGGGCCCACCUGGAUAAUCUAGGAUACUCAAGGUUAGCUGAUUUUUUUUUUAAUUUUUUUUUUUUUAACGUUUAUUUUUGAGACAGAGAGAGACAGAGCAUGAACAGGGGAGGGGCAGAGAGAGAGGGAGACACAGAAUCUGAAACAGGCUCCAGGCUCUGAGCAGUCAGCACAGAGCCCGACGCGGUGCUCGAACUCACGGACCGUGAGAUCAUGACCUGAGCCGAAGUCAGACACUUAACCGGCCGAGCCACCCAGGCGCCCCUCAAGGUUAGCUGAUUAAUGAACUUAAUUCUCUCUGCAGCAUUAAUUUCCCCUUUUUCAUGUAAUAUUCACAGGGUUUGAGGACUAGGAUACGGACAUUAGGAGGGGGAGAGGGUGGGGUCAUUAUGCUGCUUAACACAACAGGCGAGAACCACGAGCAGCUUCCUUUUUGGGUAUCGUGUUUGCCGAAACCAAAAACAAAAACCCACGUAACCAUUUCGGGGAAUGGCAAUAGUAAGGACGCAAAGUAACUUUUGCCUUGAAGUUAUUCUCAUGUUUUUGCAGACAUUGGAGUGUCUCCUUUAAUUCUCAGUAUUCAGACUUAGGACAAAGCACAAGUCAAAUCGUUUCUAAAAUUAAAAUUUGAUUACUGUCGCACAAGAGCCAUUAUUGUUUCACAGCAGCUUUUCUGUUUCGUGACCUAGAUAUAAAAUAAGUAGAAAGAACACAAGCGACAGGUUCUUCAUAUGGGAAAAUGUCAAGAAUGAAAGCACGAGUCAUUGGCAAGAAGCUCCUGCGACCUCACGGCGGGUUGAACGACAAAUAUUUUCCCCUGAAGUCUUUGGAUCCCUGUUAGCUAAGCUUAAAGUUUCUAUUUUAUUGGAGGGACAGAUACCCCUAUAGGCAAAAGCCAGAAGAAGGACUUUCCGAAGCACACAUACGUAAUAUCAACAUUUAUUAUGUAUAUGUGUGUAUGUAUACGUGUAUACAUAUGUAAAUAUAUAAUUUUCUGUUUAUAAAAGCACCUCACGCCCAUAAAAACUUCAAAGAUCACAUCACAGAAAUAUUAUGUUGAGCUGUAUAAAAUUUCCAAUAUUUCACUAUUUUUUGUUCUUUUUUUUUAUGUUUUUAUUUAUUUUUGAGAGAGAAAGAGAGAGCAGGGGAGGGGCAGAGAGAGGGAGACAGAUGAUCCGAAGUGGGCUCUGUGCUGAGAGCGGAGAGCCCCUUGUGGGGCUCAGACUCACCAACCUUGAGAUCAUGGCCUGAGCCAAAGUUGGACGCUUAACCAGCUGUGCUACCCAGACGCCCCACCUUCGCUAUUUUUUUGACCUACACGAUCAGCGAUUUCAUACUGCUCAACAUAAUAAUAUAGCAAGGAGAAUUCCCUGUAAUCUCCGUGCCCUGGAGGGAACCUCUGGCAUUUGGUGUGUAUCUUUCCAGGCUGGAGAGUAUGUCUGUGCAUGUUCACGGUUGGCGGGGUUAUUACCACAAUGCCAUAACAUGAAUAACAUCGCAACCUGCUUUCUAAACACUUUGUAGAGCAAAGCAAAUCCUAGGGCCGCUGCUGUUGCUUCCCUUCUCUGGUGCCUCCGUUUCCUUAUCUGCGAAAAUGGAACUAAUGGUUCUGUGCCGGGUGUUUAUUGCUUCUGGGCUCCAAAUUCAUCAUGUUUGUCCGCUCUGUGGAAAUGGGUCUGGGCCCUUUAUUUUCCUUUGCCAGAUGGAACAAUGCUGAGUUUUGCCACCAGAGGGCGCCAGCAGCCGUUUCUUGAGGAAGAGGCUUUACUUCCUGGUGGUGAUGCGCCAGGGCUAACUUCUCCAGCUCAGCUCCUGCCACGGGGACAGCUUUUCCAGCAGCCGGCUCCUUCAGCAGAGGCAGCCAGAACCGCUGCUUCCCCUAGCACCCCACUCCCACCCUGGGAGUAGUGGAGGGCCUCUUCCCCAGCACCCUAAAGGAUGGCUUUCCAGUAAGUUCCAUGGGGCCUGUGCUGUGCUUCAGCAACUUCACUUAUCCAAUGAGCCACGGCCCGGCCAUUCCGUCUCCAACGAGGUCUGGAUCUCAGACCUGGGGCUGGAUGGGAGCCCUUCUGGCUAGGGGAGGAAGUGCUCUGUCUCAGCCCUGGGGAUGAGGGCUGCUCCUUACAUCUGCUAGUCUGGUCGUGUUUAGAGUUCCUUUUACUUUUUAAAAGAGUUUUAAUGUUUAUUUACUUUUGACACAGAGAGAGGCAGAGCAUGAGCAGGGGAGGGGCAGAGAGAGAGAGGGAGACACAGAAUCCGAAGCAGGCUCCAGGCUCUGAGCUUUCGCACAGAACCCGAUGCGGGGCUCGAACUCACAGACUGAGAGAUCAUGAUCUGAGCCGAAGUCGGAUGCUCAACCGACUGAGCCACCCAGGCGCCCGAGUUCCCUUUACUUCUUACUAGCCGAUCCCUUGUUACUCCAAUCCCCUGUUCUAGUUAAUAAUUCUUUAUAUUAAACUUUCCCUGUUCAAAUUACUUUGUGGUUUCCCUCAGCCUGAACCCGAUCGCACGUAUUGUUAUGAGGAUUGGAAGGAGGGAGAGGGCUGAGCUCAGUGUGUAACACGCAGGGAGGACUCAGAAAACAGCGGUUACGUCAUCAUCAUCGUCGUCCCUGUCAUUGUCAUUAUCGCGUCUCCACUUCAAUACCUACAGAGUAGCCUCUGCCUUAUUGGCCAUGGCCAUGGUUCCGUAGUACGGAUGGAGUGUGGAAUCCCUCAACUCCUGAUGGACAUUGGGAUUAUUCCACUCUUCCGUUAUUACGAACAGCCCUAUGAUCCACAGAAGAGCUGUCCGCCCCUGAACACUCAGCCUACAUAUGCUUUGCACCGAAGCAAUUACAUAUAGUGACUCCACUUCUCACAACGCGCUAUUCUAUUCGCUUCCAAAACUUGAGUGGCUUAAAACAACACACAUUUAUUACCUUACAGUUCUGGAUGUCAGGAAUCCGAAAUGAAGGUGUUGGCAGGGCCGUGUCCCUUCUGAGGGCUGCCGGGGAGACUCUGUCUCUCCCAGCUUCUAGAGGCUGCCUGCAUUCUGUGGCUGAUGGCUACCCACUCCCCCCACCUUGGCUCCACCCUCUUGUCCCCACCCCCACCCAGGCACACCUCCUACUACUCACUG
rnacentral:lncRNA from 1 species